UACAGAGGGUGCUAGCGUUAAUCGGAUUUAUUGGGCGUAAAGGGCGCGUAGGUGGUAAAGCAAGUAGGAUGUGAAAGCCCUGGGCUUAACCUGGGAAGUGCAUCCUAAACUGCUUAACUAGAGUAUGGUAGAGAGUAGUGGAAUUCCGGUGUAGCGGUGAAAUGCGUAGAGAUCGGAAGGAACGCCAGUGGUGAAGACGACUACCUGGACCAAUACUGACACUGAGGCGCGAAAGCGUGGGGAGCAAACAGG
rnacentral:rRNA from 1 species